AAUAAACUCCUUCCAUAAGCAGAGUGGGGUUGGGAUAAUGGACCGGCCAUCCGACCAACUUAAUUGACUUUUGAAUCUCCGGCUUCUGCAGCAGGAUGUGUGUUUUGUGGGUCCAUAAAAUCAAUAAACUUAAAUAACUACAAAUAACUGAGAAAUUGGGGCACUCUCGCAAGGGAAGAUAGGUGGGCUAUGGGGUGUAGAGUAGUGUAGUGUAGAGCCAAAUGCAAUUGCCUUCCCCGUAAUCCUCCUUUCAGCCAGGUCCAGGACCAGGACCAGGACCAGAGCGGGAUAAGCUUCAACUUUCCACACGUUCUGCUCUUCCCCUUGCCGGCCAUCAACUUCACUCCAUAUAUAUUUGCUAAUGAGACGGAUUAAGGACCGAAAAGUUGUGGACAAAGUUGACCUCCCCCGAAAGCCCGCAAUAAUAACUCAUGUUUAUGUCAGCCAAAUAAAUAUGGUAAACAAUG
rnacentral:sRNA from 1 species